GAUGAACGCUAGCGGCAGGCUUAACACAUGCAAGUCGAGGGGCAGCACGUCUUCGGAUGGUGGCGACCGGCGCACGGGUGCGUAACGCGUAUAGAACCUACCUUUUACAGGGGAAUAGCCCGGAGAAAUUUGGAUUAAUGCCCCAUAGUAUUAUUGAAUGGCAUCAUUUAAUAAUUAAACAUUUAUGGGUAAAAGAUGGCUAUGCGUUCUAUUAGCUAGUAGGUAAGGUAACGGCUUACCUAGGCAACGAUAGAUAGGGGUCCUGAGAGGGAGAUCCCCCACACUGGUACUGAGACACGGACCAGACUCCUACGGGAGGCAGCAGUGAGGAAUAUUGGACAAUGGGCGAGAGCCUGAUCCAGCCAUGCCGCGUGCAGGAAGACGGUCCUAUGGAUUGUAAACUGCUUUAUACAGGAAGAAACACUCGGACGUGUCCGAGCUUGACGGUACUGUAUGAAUAAGACACCGGCUAAACUCCGUGCCAGCAGCCGCGGUU
rnacentral:rRNA from 1 species